CACGAAGGGCGCAAGCGUUGUCCGGAAUUAUUGGGCGUAAAGAGCUCGUAGGUGGUUUGUUACGUCUGCUGUGAAAACCUAGGGCUUAACCCUGGGCUUGCAGUGGAUACGGGCAGACUAGAGGUAGGUAGGGGAGAAUGGAAUUCCUGGUGUAGCGGUGAAAUGCGCAGAUAUCAGGAGGAACACCGGUGGCGAAGGCGGUUCUCUGGGCCUUACCUGACACUGAGGAGCGAAAGCGUGGGGAGCGAACAGG
rnacentral:rRNA from 1 species